UUAGAGUUUGAUCCUGGCUCAGGAUGACUUUUGGCGGCGUGCUUAACACAUGCAAGUCGAACGAACCUUCGGGUUAGUGGCGGACGGGUGAGUAACGCGUGGGAAUCUGCCCUCAGGAGGGGGAUAACGGUUGGAAACGACCGCUAAUACCCCAUAUGCCGAGAGGUGAAACGAAAUUCGCCAGAGGAUGAGCCCGCGUCUGAUUAGCUAGUUGGUGGGGUAAAGGCCUACCAAGGCAUCGAUCAGUAGCUGGUCUGAGAGGAUGAUCAGCCACACUGGGACUGAGACACGGCCCAGACUCCUACGGGAGGCAGCAGUGAGGAAUUUUCCGCAAUGGGCGCAAGCCUGACGGAGCAACGCCGCGUGAGGGAUGAAGGCCUCUGGGCUGUAAACCUCUUUUCUCAAGGAAGAAGAACUGACGGUACUUGAGGAAUAAGCCACGGCUAAUUCCGUGCCAGCAGCCGCGGUAAUACGGGAGUGGCAAGCGUUAUCCGGAAUUAUUGGGCGUAAAGCGUCCGCAGGCGGCCUUGAAAGUCCGUCGUUAAAGCGUGGAGCUUAACUCCAUUUCGGCGGUGGAAACUACAAGGCUUGAGUGUGGUAGGGGCAGAGGGAAUUCCCGGUGUAGCGGUGAAAUGCGUAGAUAUCGGGAAGAACACCAGUGGCGAAGGCGCUCUGCUGGGCCAUAACUGACGCUCAUGGACGAAAGCUAGGGGAGCGAAAGGGAUUAGAUACCCCUGUAGUCCUAGCCGUAAACGAUGAACACUAGGUGUCGGGGGAAUCGACCCCCUCGGUGUCGUAGCUAACGCGUUAAGUGUUCCGCCUGGGGAGUACGCACGCAAGUGUGAAACUCAAAGGAAUUGACGGGGGCCCGCACAAGCGGUGGAGUAUGUGGUUUAAUUCGAUGCAACGCGAAGAACCUUACAGGGUUUGACAUCCUGCGAAUCCCUUGGAAACUUGGGAGUGCCUUCGGGAGCGCAGAGACAGGUGGUGCAUGGCUGUCGUCAGCCCGCGUCGUGAGAUGUUGGGUUAAGUCCCGCAACGAGCGCAACCCACGUCUUUAGUUGCCAGCAUUUAGUUGGGCACUCUAGAGAGACCGCCGGUGAUAAACCGGAGGAGGGUGUGGAUGACGUCAAGUCAUCAUGCCCCUUACAUCUUGGGCUACACACGUACUACAAUGCUACGGACAAAGGGUUGCAAACUCGCGAGAGCUAGCUAAUCCCAUAAACCGUGGCUCAGUUCUGAUCGUAGGCUGCAACUCGCCUACGUGAAGGAGGAAUCGCUAGUAAUCGCAGGUCAGCAUACUGCGGUGAAUACGUUCCCGGGCCUUGCACUCAACGCCCG
rnacentral:rRNA from 1 species